CGGUGAGUGGCCCAGUAGCGACGGCACCUGACUGUAAAUCAGGCACAUGAGAAACACGGAGGCGCACAUCCUCCCUCACCGA
rnacentral:tRNA from 1 species